rnacentral:tRNA from 1 species
GGUAGAAUGGCUGAGUAAAGCGGUGGAUUGUAGCUCCAUGUACAGAGGUUCGAGUCCUCUUUCUAUCA